GCAAGUCGAGGGGUAACAGGAAAUGCUUGCAUUUCGCUGACGACCGGCGAACGGGUGAGUAAUGCAUAAGAAAUCUGCCCAUGAGACCGGGAUAGCCAUCCUAACGGAUGAUUAAUACCGGAUAGUAAUAUUUGAAGGCAUCUUUAGAUAUUUAAUGCUUUAGUGCUCAUGGAUGAUCUUAUGUGACAUCAGCUAGUUGGUGAGGUAAUGGCUCACCAAGGCAAUGACGUCUAGCCGACCUGAGAGGGUGAUC
rnacentral:rRNA from 1 species